rnacentral:tRNA from 1 species
CGGAAUGUAGCGCAGCUUGGUAGCGCACUUGCAUGGGGUGCAAGGGGUCGGAGGUUCAAAUCCUCUCAUUCCGACCA